AGAUUAAACUGAAGAGUUUGAUCCUGGCUCAGAUUGAACGCUGGCGGCAUGCUUUACACAUGCAAGUCGUACGCGGGUGAGGGGCAACUCUCACCUGAGUGGCGAACGGGUGAGUAAUACAUCGGAACGUGUCCCGUAGUGGGGGAUAGCUCGGCGAAAGCCGGAUUAAUACCGCAUAUGCUCUACGGAGGAAAGCGGGGGAUCCGCAAGGACCUCGCGCUAUGGGAGCGGCCGAUGUCCGAUUAGCUUGUUGGUGGGGUAACGGCUUACCAAGGCGACGAUCGGUAGCUGGUCUGAGAGGAUGAUCAGCCACACUGGGACUGAGACACGGCCCAGACUCCUACGGGAGGCAGCAGUGGGGAAUUUUGGACAAUGGGGGAAACCCUGAUCCAGCCAUGCCGCGUGAGUGAAGAAGGCCUUCGGGUUGUAAAGCUCUUUUGGCCGGAAAGAAAAGGCUACGGAUAACACCCGUGGUCCUUGACGGUACCGGCAGAAUAAGCACCGGCUAACUACGUGCCAGCAGCCGCGGUAAUACGUAGGGUGCGAGCGUUAAUCGGAAUUACUGGGCGUAAAGAGUGCGUAGGCGGUCCCGCAAGUCCGCUGUGAAAGCCCCGGGCUUAACCUGGGAAUGGCAGUGGAAACUAUGGGACUUGAAUCUGGCAGAGGGGGGUGGAAUGCCACGUGUAGCAGUGAAAUGCGUAGAGAUGUGGCGGAACACCGAUGGCGAAGGCAGCCCCCUGGG
rnacentral:rRNA from 1 species